UUUAUUUUUUUUAUUGCUUAGAUGGGUGGACGAGCUCACAGCCCACCUGGUGUUAAGUGGUUACUGGAGCCCAUAGACAUCUACAACGUAAAUGCGCCACCCACCUUGAGAUAUAAGUUGUAAGGUCUCAGUAUAGUUACAACGGCUGCCCCACCCUUCGAACCGAAACGCAUUUCUGCAGAAAUAGGCAGGGUGGUGGUAUCUACCCGCGCGGUCUCUCAAGACGCCCUACCACCAGUGUUAACUACACUAGGCUGGUUUCUUCUCGCUUGAUAUUAUGGACCUAUCGGCAUUGAUUUUUAUCACUUUUGCACUUAUGUCGACUGACUCGGUGGUACCGUAGUUAGAGACCUUGAGCGUUGCGCCAAGGGUUCGAUUCCCACAUCGGGAAAACAUUUGUGUGAUGAACAGAUUAGUUUGCUCUUUGUCUGGAUGUUUACUAUCUAUUUGUGUAUAUUUAAACAAAUGUAACAUAAUAAAUAAACAAAAGUAGUAUUUUUUUAAUAAUUUAUUUGAAGAAUCGCGGUAUAUUUUGACAUUCAUAUAUUUACAACUAGCUGACCCGGCAGACUUCGUAGUGCCUCAAUCGAUAAAUAAAAGACCUAAGCUUUUGUAUAAAAUAAACUUAAAACAAACAAAAAGAAUCUGUCCGACGGGGACACAUCAAAGGAAAAACAAAAUUGUUAUUUUUAUUUAAUUCCGAGCAUUUUCAUAUUUAUUUACCUUUUAAACCUUCUCUGGACUUCCACAAAUAAUUCAAGACCAAAAUUAGCCAAAUCGGUCCAGCCGCUCUCGAGCUUUAGCGAGACUAACGAACAGUAAUUCAUUUUUGUAUAUAUAGAUGAAAAAUAUCUCGUCAUUUAAUCUAGUUCGAUAUGCGAUAGCUCGUAAUUCGACUGCGCCUUUACGAAGCGUUUACUAUGCAAUUGCAUUGCUCAUCUGUGGCGGAGCGUUACAACGAUUGCAUUGCUAAAUUCUUUAUUCAAUCGGCCGCUCUCACAGACAGGCAAGAUUUAUACGUGCUUCGAAUGAUGAUCUUGCCGCUCUCAUCUUACAAAGAAGAGGCAAAACUUCUCGUGACGGAGCGAAAGGUAUUGAGAACUACUACUAGGACCAGUUCGGAAAGAAGACGGUUCUUGGCACGUCCGGAAAAAUAAGGAUGUGGAGAGGCUUUUUGGUGAGCCAAAUAUUCUGGGGGAGAUGAAGGCACAGAGGCUCGGAUGGCUUGGACAAGAAGUACGUAUGGAGCAGGAUCGGGCUGUGAAACGGGUGUACACGGGUGUACCGGAGGGACACCGCCCCGUAAGGAGGCCCAAGUACCGCUGGUCUGACGCUGUGGAAGGAAAUUUACGGGACCUUCAAGUGUCAGACUGGCAAGGUGUUGCGCAGCGCCGGGAUGAAUGGCAAAGUUUAUUGUCGGAGGCCAAGAUCCACUUUGGGGUCAUAGCGCUAGAGCUCAGUAGUAGUAGUAUAAGUUUGAAAAUUAUUGUGGUUAUAUUGUCAAAGACUAUUUAUUAUACUUCUAUAAUCACCGAUUUCACCAAGACUACACUAUAGACAAAUAAUAUUAAAGAUUGACAGUAAACAAAGAAUAUCUAUAUUAUUAUGUGUGUGUGUCAUUUACACGGUAGGGUGUGUAAUGUUUAUUUUAUUGAUUUAAUGUAUUUUUAAUGUAUAAUUUAAAAAAAAAAUUACCAUUCCGCACUCCUUCUCUAUAUUAUCUAUAAGUGUGGGAAAUUUCAUGCUCCUCCGUCCGCACAUUUUUCGUAAAAAGGGGUACAAAGUUUUUGCUUCACGUAUUAAUAUAUAGACAUUAGCUUGUUUUAAAUUGUUUGUAAUUACGGAGAUGCUAUCAAACGUGUUGUUUAACAUAAACGUGAUGGCAAAUGAAUAUGAUAGUCCAAUCUAAUCGUAUAUAUUUGCAAUCAGGGUUUUUUUUGUUAUCGAGAGCUACGUAAGAGAGAUUCCACGCAUUUGUGUCAAUUUUUUAUUUUUUUAUUGCUUAGAUGGGUAGACGAGCUCACAGCCCACCUGGUGUUAAGUGGUUACUGGAGCCCAUAGACAUCUACAACGUAAAUGCGCCACCCACCUUGAGAUAUAAGUUUUAAGGUCUCAGUACAGUUACAACGGCUGCCCUGCCCUUCAAACCGAAACGCAUUACUGCUUCACGGCAGAAAUAGGCAGAAAUUUUACGAACCAUAUUUUCGUAUUUAUGUUUUCUCGAUUUGCUCGGUGAUGAAGUAGUUAGCACUCCUGAACGCUGAGCCGAGGAUCAUGGCUUCGAUUCCCGCAUCGGGCAAACGUUCGUGUGAUUACCAGAUUUAUUUGGCCUUUGUCUGAUUGUUUAAUUUCUAUAUGUGUAUUUAUUAAAAGUAUGUGUUUCUAGUCUAAAAGUAUGUCUCUUGUUUCCAUAGUAGAAGGAAUCCUUGUUUGGUGUUAGAUUAGCAUGUGUGACUUGUGCCGUAUUUAUUUGUAUUUAUUUGUACAAUUUAGUGCCGUCGAUGCAGACGAAAUACGUAUAAAAAACAUGUUCACGAUCGAUUUCCAUUGAAUUAGCUUCGUCUAAUAAAAAUGUAACCGGCAAAAAAUAUUUGCGUAUUAACUGUUGGCAGAACAAUAUCGGAAUACGAUUCAAUAGAAAUUCGUUCUCGUGUCUCGUAGUAGUAACGUUCUAUUCAUGACGUUACGUAUGUCUGAUAUUUAAGUUGUGAUUUCGCCAUGAUUAUUAUAUUACACUGUGUAUUUGUAUGUUUAUGUAUGUGAUAUAUACAUAAACAUACAAAUACACAGUAUUUAAUACUGUAUAAACUAUUAUAUGUAUAUAUGUGUGUAUAUAUGUAUGUAUGUAUGUAUAUGUAUAUGUGAUUUUGUAUAUAUGUAUAUAUACUUUUUUGUAUGUAUUCGUUACCUAAUAUAAAUUUUCAUUGCACCUACCACUAUUUACUCUGCACUACCUUUGGUUGACUGGUAGAGAAUGCCUUAGGCAUUAAGUCCGCCAAUGUAAAUUUUACAUGAAGUGUAAUAAAUAAAUAAAUAAAUAAAUAAA